UACGUAGGGUGCGAGCGUUGUCCGGAAUUAUUGGGCGUAAAGAGCUCGUAGGCGGUCUGUCGCGUCUGCUGUGAAAAUCCGGGGCUCAACCCCGGACUUGCAGUGGGUACGGGCAGACUAGAGUGUGGUAGGGGAGACUGGAAUUCAUGGUGUAGCAGUGAAAUGCGUAGAUAUCGGAAGGAACAUCAGUGGCGAAAGCGGCUUCCUGGACCAGCACCGACGUUCAGGCACGAAAGCGUGGGGAGCAAACAGG
rnacentral:rRNA from 1 species